rnacentral:rRNA from 1 species
GACAGAGGGGGGCAAGCGUUGCUCGGAAUUACUGGGCGUAAAGGGCGCGUAGGCGGGAUGGCAAGUCGGUCGUGAAAUCCCUCGGCUCAACCGAGGAACGUCGAUCGAUACUGCUGUUCUUUGAGGAUUGCAGAGGAGACUGGAAUUCCCGGUGUAGCGGUGAAAUGUGUAGAGAUCGGGAGGAACACCGGUGGCGAAGGCGGGUCUCUGGGCAAUUCCUGACGCUGAGGCGCGAAAAGCGUGGGGAGCAAACGGG